ACUUGUUCCUGAAGGCAGAGAUGAGACGCACAAACGGAUCUCGGACAAACAGGAACUUGGUGUAGUGUUGGAGCUUGAGCGCCAUCAGGUGGCGGGACAGAGAACCGUAGUGACGCCAGAACCUGGUGGAAAACAUUGAGACAGACGGCUCCUCAGAGUGACAGAAAGGUCGGUCUGUGCUGCAGCACCAGGCUCCGCCUCUCUGCUCCAGCCGUCUCUUCCAUGUAUCAACUCAGUAAAUAACUCACAGACAACUUCUCAAACACAGGUUCAGUAGGAGUCUGUUUCUGUUUCUGUUCCUCUCCGUCUUAUCACCGUUUAAACUGAAUGAUCACUGACCAGCUGAUCAAUAAUCUGUUCCUACAAAGUCAGGUCACGUCAGCUGUGUUUGUAAAGUCCAAGAAGACACUGGACUUCAAUGAGACAAAUUGAACAAAAACA